CCCUCUCCCUCUCCCUUUCCCUCUCCUUCAGGGCUACCAGGAUGUGAGCAGCUGUGCUCCACGAUGCCUCUUUGUCAUGCCACUCUGCUUGGAGCUGACCCACUGGGGACUAAACUAGAAAUAACUGGUUACAUGCAGCAAGAAGGACACCAGCUCUGUGACUCAGCCAGAGGAGAAAGAUUUGGGAAGUACAGUACCUAGUUUUAUCAGUCCAGGCAACAAAACUUUAUAAAUGAGUUUCCACAGAAGUGCAAUCUUCCUGGUGACAUCCAUGGACCCAUUCAUGGUUCCCUCUCCAUAUUAUGGUCAUAGAAACACGUAUUGCAUUCUGCCUUUUGACAAAGCUGGUUCUGCUUACUCCCUGCCCUCAAGUGUCCUCACAUGCACUGACUGUAUGAAGAUCACUAUAAUAGUGACCACCUAUCAGUAUUUGUUUGCCAGGCACUCUACUUAGUGCCCCUUACAAGCAACCAAAGGGAGGUCGGCCAAUACGCAUGAGGAAUCUGAGGCUCAAAGAGGUUAAGCAAGUCACACCAGUGUGAAGGAAGUAAGAACAUAAACCAGGAUCAUCCAGAUCUCGGUCGUCUAGUACCUACCUUCCUGGGCCACGAGAUCUGGGGCCUAUACUACAUGCUGUACCCCCAAAGGAAGGAGCCAGCCACGCCACACAGGGCCAUAUGAAAAGAAACCAGGCUUGGUCAGCAGGGCACAGGCAGACUGGAGAUGCAGCUCAGAAGCACACAACCUUGCGACAGCCACUUGCUAUUCCCCAAGAUCCAGCAAAACAGAAAAUAAUUAGACUCAAUGGAACUUUAAAAGUAAUUUAAUCGUGAUUAGUAUCCUUUUCUCAUAGGAGGCAAAAAUAAAUAAAUAAAUAACCCUGUCUCUUCUCUCUAGAAUGUAGUGGACAAAUUUUGUGCAAAUGCAAAAAACACCCAUUGAAUGGUAAGCUGCUCCAAAUCUCUUUUCAGAAUUCCAUGUACAUAUUCCAUGGAAUAUCUUGAUACAAGUUAUAAGCUAAUGAAUUGACAAAGGAGCUUAGGAAUGAUAGGACUGUAGAAAACACUGUAUAUUGAUUGCCUUUGUCUGCAAAACUAACCCGAGCAAUCAGAAGCCCUUUAUUGACUCCCUUUAAUUUCCAUGGCAAUGUAGUUAAGUGCAUAUAUUCAAUAAGAAUCUGUCUUUGUGAUGAGGUUAUUGGAUAAAACAAAUUUGUAACCAUUCCAGAAAUGUCUUAUUUAAAUCCAGGCUUGACCAACCCAUUAUUAAGGAAAAAGGACUAAAUACUUCAUGUGCAGAAAUGAUGCCUACAAAAUCCUCCUGGAAAACUGCUCCAAGGCCUGCACUGUAGCUUACAGAGUCCCAGGCUCACAGUGAGUCAAGUCAUACACUUUUUCACCAGUAGGACAAGCAAACAUGAGGACCAGAAAGAAGAUAAAGCUUACAGUUUUGAGGUCCUGCAAAGGAAAAACCUGGCAAGCUUUCUUGUUUUUUGGACUGGAAAUGGAGCUUAUUCCUGGCAUAGUAAGUGAGCAAAAGUAUCACGCCAGAGAGGCAAGAGAUUAGGGGAUGAGAGACUGGCUGAGCAAAGUGAGUGUGACCUGUUGAUCAUGAACAUCAAGGAAAUGAGCGGAAAAACAUUUCUCAAAGCCCUGCACCUGGGACCAAUCAGAGAACGCUGUCUUCAAUUCUUCCCACAAGAAACCCAGCAGGUUUUUGAUAAGAUGGCCUAGAUCUGACGUCAGCCUGAGGAGUGGGGAGAUACAAAAGACAGUUUCCAUUAAGCUCUUGGCCACUGUGUUCUCUUUCACGGUGCUCCACUCUUUCCCUAUAGAGUGUAACUCUUUUCCUACUUUUAAUUGGCCUGACCUCAUUCUACAGAGCAUGUUUCUUUCCCUGCCUGUAAUAAAUGUAAAACCUCACUACUUUUUACACUUGUUUUGACCAAUUCUUUGUUCAGAACAAGAAGAACCUAGAAAGGAUCUCUAGAAGGAGUUCCCAGCACCCUAGGACCCAGUAACACCAGACCACUUGUA